GCGAAAGCAACAUGAACUGUUAAGUGGGCUCCACAGUAUUGAACCAAUAGCAGAUGACAUUCUUAUAAUUGGCUGUGGUAAUACAGAUGAGGAAGCUGAGCAUGACCAUGAUGAGAAGCUAGGAGCAUGAUUGGAUCGUUGCAGGCAGGUAAUGCGUAAAGAAAUUACAAUUCAAGGUACGUAAAGAAAUUACAAUUCAAG